rnacentral:rRNA from 1 species
UAAGGAAUUUUUCGCAAUGGGGGAAACCCUGACGAAGCGACACCGCGUGAAGGAUGAAGGCCUUUUGGUUGUAAACUUCUUUUCUGAGGGAAUAAAUAUGAAUGUACCUCAGGAAUAAGCAACGGCUAACUACGUGCCAGCAGCCGCGGUAAGACGUAGGUUGCAAGCGUUAUCCGGAAUUACUGGGCGUAAAGAGUUUGUAGGUGUUUUGUUAAGUAGAGUGUUAAAGGCUGGGGCUUAGCCCCGGUAAGGUACUCUAAACUGGCAGAAUUGAGUAAUGCAGAGGUAGAUGGAAUUCUGUGUGUAGGGGUAAUAUCCGUAGAUACACAGAGGAACACCAAAAGCGAAGGCAGUCUACUGGGCAUUUACUGACGCUCAAGAACGAAAGCGUGGGGAGCAAACAGA